AGCCACCCACGCGCAGGCCUCGGGCACAGGGUCACCGGCUCAGAGAAGUUAAGAACCGCUGUUUCGGAUGGAACUCAGAUAUCCGGGAGUGGAAACUCCACUUCCAUUGCCUUCCCUGCAGAAAGAAUCUACUGGGACUCAAGUAGAAAAGGGACUGUGGCAUGGACCGUGAGUCCUCUUGUCGCUCCCUCUCCUGGGCCUUGUGGGGAUCCUUAAGGCUGGCUUGGUUCGCCCUGCCAAACAGACAGCUCAUUUCUUUGAGGGCCCACACCUGAACUAUGAGUCAGGGGGAAGAGAGGCAUCUGCUCUCUGGUCCACAGCCCGUUGUGGUCCUUACUCAGCUGCCCAUGACCACCUAGUAUAGAGCAAGACAGUUCUUGCCCUCCCCUGUAAGCAUUUCUCUUCCAGAAAUCAGGAUCUCAUGCUAGUAUUUCAAGUUGGGAUUUCAUACAAGGAAUUGGCAACAACGGGCAGAGAGGUGAGUGAGCAGAGCCCUACUGUCCAGAAAGCCAGUUCUUUUAGACACCAGGAUAUCACAGGACGACAGCAAGUGGCUGGGGAUGACGGGCUUCCCCUGGAUGAGAAGAGACUCCCCACACUCAGUGCAGAGGGGCUGGGCAUGCCCAAGGUGAGCUGACAGGCAUCCAACCAGCUCCUUGCCCCUAGGGCAUGCAUGACCUGUCAUCUAUCUGGAGUCUCUAGCCUUGACAUGAAGUUUAUGCUGACAGAAGGCAUGGACAAACAGUAUCCUCCAGGACAGAGUCCAGUGGUCCUUCACAAACAGCUGGCACUCUCAAAGGCCUGGACCUCUAGGGAUGAAGCCCUACCUUACCAAUCCCUGUAAAUAGAGCAUGGAAACUUGUAAUGUGAACAGCUGGAGGUCACAAGGUCUGAGGGAGGGGGGCAGGGAGGGGGAGGGGGAGGGGAGCCCUGCCCGAGCCAGGGACCUUGGAGAUGAGAAGAGAAGCAGCAUGACAUUGGAUCACUGUCAGCCCAGAAAAGAUGGACGCCAUCGAUUCUUAGUACACUGGUGCCCCUAAGAGAGAGGCUAAAACUGGAAGAAAGGGAGGGCUAAGGUGGGGUUUCAGAGAACCUGGGAGAUAGGUGGUCAAGUGGGACUGGCCAGGCAGGGACAAUAGGCUAGAGGUGGCAGCAUGAGUCCCUUACCCUCCCAUAGACUACACUACACUAGAAAUGGACCUGAGAAGGCAGCUGGGUGGGUUGAGAACUGAAGCAGAGCUGGUGGUCUCUUAGAGCACACGGUAUGCCAGGAGGUGAGGCUGGCUGCCCAUGUGACAACUGUGGGCUAGAAGAGCCAGGUUUCCUUACUGCUGUGUCUUCACAGUUCUGCUCUGGAAAGACUCCCCUGCAUCACCCCGAACUGAAGUAGCUGUCAGCUCUCCUGAAGCUGCACACACUGCUCCAGACAACCAUCUCAGGGCAACAGUGCCAUUCAGAGUAGCUCAGCCCGACCCUUCAUGAAGUCUUCAUUGGCUACCGCUGCUCAUCCUUCUCAUGUCACAGGGUGUCCACGCCCCUAGAGCCCUGUUCUCUCUUCCAUACAGACCACUGCCAGUUCUCAUCACAGGGCCCUGUACAAAGAACAGUGGCCUCAUCAGAACCAGGAGCCAGAGCCACUGGCCUCUCUCCCUAUACACCCGCUCCCCCUCAGCUUUGGGCACUCGAAUCUGGACUUCCACUAGGAAGCCUCUAUGUCAUCUGCUAGCCUGGGCUACUCAUGGUGCUGGAAUGGGCUUGAAAGCCCAAGACAGCAGGGGCUACAAGGAAAAAUGAACCCUUGCUUUGCCUAGGAACUGGGGGUAGGGAGGGGCUCUGGGGCCAUCUCUUUCUGAGAGGUCUCAGCAUGAGUCACCCCUUCAGGCCCAGGCACAAAUGCAGGAAACUGCCAUUCUAUGGAACUAUUUUCUCUCACAGAGGGAAAGCCCGUCACACACAGGCAUUGUUCGGAAAGCACGGCCAGUGCUUUCCGGGUGGGCUCCUGAAGAAACCAGCAGGCUAGCACUCUGGGCUAAACUGCUUCCCUUUGAGACCCGGGGGCGCCUGGAGGUUAAGAAUGUGGGGCCUUGGUCCAGCCGCUAGCUUGAGGUGACAGGAGCAUAUCCAGGACGAGAGUGCCCUGUGGGAUGGGGAUAGAUCACCUAGGCCAUUUUGCUGCCUACACACAGGAGUGAUGCUCAGGAAUGAAGGGAGAAGCAGGAGCUGUCUGUCCCCAUACUAUGCCGUUUGUCUAGCAGCAGCCUGCUGCAGGAAGUCUUGCAGAUCCCAGUCCUCUGUUCACUUUGGCUCCGAGUCAUCCCAGGCCUUGUGACAAGGGGUAACCCAGUAAUGGCUGUGGGGUGGGGACGGGCCCUUAAUGUAGAGAGGGGCAGGGUAGAGUAGUGUCACCUGUCCCUCUGGUGACUCACCUGUGACCGAGGAGAUACUUACAGACUGCAGAAGACACAAGGCCUCAUAGAAAGUUGGGGAUGCUGGCGCCCCCUGUCAACACCCUUAGAGCAGUGCAGGAUGGUGAGCCAGGUGGGCUGUCCCUUGCCCCAGAACCUCUCCUCUGCCUGGGCAUGCUCCAGAGUGUCUGGGCACCCCUGUUUUCACCUCUCUGAGCUUCAUGUGAGGCCCAGGUCCUGGCCACCUGUCUACACUACCCACACCACCGAGGUCCUCCUGGAGACUCCGAAGCUGACCAGGAAGAACCUGGACCUGCUUCAGUUGCAAGUUAAAGAUGUCAGUCGCACAAACAGCUCUCAUGUUCAUUCUCGCCACCACACAGACUUGGCCCAACUCCUGUCGGCGCUGUGUGCACCUAUACACCCUCAGACCCCCCUGGGGUCACCAGACUUCCUUAGAACAACGUUGAUGAGGGCAGGUGAGAACUGUCCCCAGCCGGAUAACGUGCAGGGAGACCUGGGGCUCCUGGUUCCAGAGUCCACAACACAGCUGUCUCCUGGAGACCCAGAGUCUACUGUGACAUGUGACAUGUGACAUGUGGGGAGAUCAGCUCACAGAAACAGGUGGCCAGCUGGAGGGAGCCCAGUCCUAGUGCUGAAAGCAGGACCUGUCCUGUGUACUGGAGGGGCCUGAAAGGGACCCUGGGGGCAGCAGCAUGGGUUAGAAGACUAGACUUGUGGGGGAAAAUUCACCAAGAGAGGUAGCCCUAAGGAGUGGCCCAGGGCAGGACGCUUGCCAAAGGGAGCCUUCUAGAACACACUAGGAUAAGAGGAGCUAUGGUGCCCUGGGGAGGCUCAGCAGCCUCAUCUUACCUCACAGCCGAAGUGACAGCCAAGGUGUCCAGGGUCCUCCUGUAGCCUGUUACUCAGUCCCUUCCCUGCUGCCUCGCUCCUGUCUCCUGGGAUCCCCCCACCCACCAUCUUCUGCCUCACUUCUGACACAUAAUAGCCACUGAUCUCUCUCUCAUGUCCUCGCAACAUCUCCAUGGCAGUAAAAUACACCAAGUCAACGCUUGCCAUCUUAAGUGUUUCGAAAUGGUUCUUUUUAAUUGAAAAAGUAAUACAUGCCACAGCAAAAUUAAAAGCAGUGCUUUAUGUACGCAAUAUAAAAAGAGAAAAGAAACAGCUGGCGACUUCUCCCGUA
ensembl:lincRNA